rnacentral:rRNA from 1 species
GAUGAACGCUAGCCACAGGCUUAACACAUGCAAGUCGAGGGGCAGCAUGGUCUUAGCUUGCUAAGGCUGAUGGCGACCGGCGCACGGGUGAGUAACACGUAUCCAACCUGCCGUCUACUCUUGGACAGCCUUCUGAAAGGAAGAUUAAUACAAGAUGGCAUCAUGAGUCCGCAUGUUCACAUGAUUAAAGGUAUUCCGGUAGACGAUGGGGAUGCGUUCCAUUAGAUAGUAGGCGGGGUAACGGCCCACCUAGUCUUCGAUGGAUAGGGGUUCUGAGAGGAAGGUCCCCCACAUUGGAACUGAGACACGGUCCAAACUCCUACGGGAGGCAGCAGUGAGGAAUAUUGGUCAAUGGGCGAGAGCCUGAACCAGCCAAGUAGCGUGAAGGAUGACUGCCCUAUGGGUUGUAAACUUCUUUUAUAAAGGAAUAAAGUCGGGUAUGGAUACCCGUUUGCAUGUACUUUAUGAAUA